rnacentral:rRNA from 1 species
CCUACGGGGGACAGCAGUGAGGAAUAUUGGUCAAUGGGCGCGAGCCUGAACCAGCCAAGUAGCGUGAAGGAUGACUGCCCUACGGGUUGUAAACUUCUUUUAUAAAGGAAUAAAGUGAGGUACGUGUGCCUUUUUGUAUGUACUUUAUGAAUAAGGAUCGGCUAACUCCGUGCCAGCAGCCGCGGUAAUACGGAGGAUCCGAGCGUUAUCCGGAUUUAUUGGGUUUAAAGGGUGCGUAGAUGGGUUGUUAAGUCAGUUGUGAAAGUUUGCGGCUCAACCCUAAAAUUGCAAUUGAUACUGGCGGUCUUGAGUACAGAUGAGGUAGGCGGAAUGCGUGGUGUAGCGGUGAAAUGCUUAGAUAUCACGAAGAACUCCGAUUGCGAAGGCAGCUUACUAAACUGCCACUGACAUUGAUGCUCGAAAGUGUGGGUAUCAAACAGGAUUAGAUACCCGGGUAGUC